CCUACGAGAGGCAGCAGUGGGGAAUAUUGGGCAAUGGGCGCAAGCCUGACCCAGCAACGCCGCGUGAAGGAAGAAGGCUUUCGGGUUGUAAACUUCUUUUAUGAGGGACGAAGAAAGUGACGGUACCUCAGGAAUAAGCCACGGCUAACUACGUGCCAGCAGCCGCGGUAAUACGUAGGUGGCAAGCGUUAUCCGAAUUUAUUGGGUGUAAAGGGCGGUUAGGCGUGAAAGCAAGCCAGAUGUUAACACUCAGGGCUCAACCCUUAGCCUGCAUUUGAAACUGUUUUUCUUGAGUGCUGGAGAUGUAAUCGGAAGUCCUGGUGUAUCGGGGAAAUGCGUAGAUAUACGGAGGAACACCAGUGGCGAAGGCGGAUUGCUGGACAGUAACUGACGCUGAGGCGCGAAAGCGUGGGGAGCAAACAGGAUUAGAUACCCGAGUAGGC
rnacentral:rRNA from 1 species